GAUGAACGCUAGCGGCAGGCUUAAUACAUGCAAGUCGAGGGACAGCACAGGUAGCAAUACUGGGUUGUAACCGGCAAACGGGUGCGGAACACGUACACAACCUUCCUUUAAGUGGGGGAUAGCCCAGAGAAAUUUGGAUUAAUACCCCGUAAUAUAGUUGAAUGGCAUCAUUUGAUUAUUAUAGCUACGGCGCUUAAUGAUGGGUGUGCGGCUGAUUAGAUAGUUGGCGGGGUAACGGCCCACCAAGUCUACGAUCAGGAGCUGAUGUGAGUGCAUGAUCAGCCAGACGGGAACUGAGACACGGUCCCGACUCCUACAGGAGGCAGCAGUAAGGAAUAUUGGUCAAUGGACGCAAGUCUUAACCAGCCAUGCCGCGUGAAGGAUUAAGGUCCUCUGGAUUGUAAACUUCUUUUAUUUGGAACGAAAAAGGGCCUUUCUAGGUCAACUGACGGUACCAGAUGAAUAAGCACCGGCUAACUCCGUGCCAGCCGCCGCCGCGGUAA
rnacentral:rRNA from 1 species